GACGUAGGGCGCGAGCGUUGUCCGGAUUUAUUGGGCGUAAAGAGCUCGUAGGCGGCUUGUUGCGUCGGCUGUGAAAACCCGCGGCUUAACCGUGGGCUUGCAGCCGAUACGGGCAGGCUAGAGUUCGGUAGGGGAGACUGGAAUUCCUGGUGUAGCGGUGAAAUGCGCAGAUAUCAGGAGGAACACCCGGUGGCGAAGGCGGGCUCU
rnacentral:rRNA from 1 species